rnacentral:rRNA from 1 species
GGAAUACGUGGGAAUCUGCCCAGUCGUGGGGAUAACGUAGGGAACUUACGCUAAUACCGCAUGCGCCCUUCGGGGGAAAGCCGGGGACCUUCGGGCCUGGCGCGAUUGGAUGAGCCCACGUCGGAUUAGCUAGUUGGCGGGGUAAAGGCCCACCAAGGCGACGAUCCGUAGCUGGGUCUGAGAGGAUGAUCAGCCACACUGGAACUGAGACACGGUCCAGACUCCUACGGGAGGCAGCAGUAGGGAAUAUUGGACAAUGGGCGCAAGCCUGAUCCAGCCAUGCCGCGUGAGUGAAGAAGGCCCUCGGGUUGUAAAGCUCUUUUGUCCGGAAAGAAAAGCGCCGGGUUAAUACCCUGGUGUCCUGACGGUACCGGAAGAAUAAGCACCGGCUAACUUCGUG